UACGGAGGGGGCGAGCGUUGUUCGGAGUCACUGGGCGUAAAGCGCACGUAGGCGGUGCGGUAAGUCUGGGGUCAAAGGCUACGGCUCAACCGUAGUAAGGCCUCAGAUACUAUCGUGCUAGAGUGCCGGAGAGGGUAGCGGAAUUCCCUGUGUAGCGGUGAAAUGCGUAGAUAUAGGGAGGAACACCGGUUGCGAAGGCGGCUACCUGGCCGGUAACUGACGCUGAGGCUCGAAAGCGUGGGUAGCAAACAGG
rnacentral:rRNA from 1 species